rnacentral:rRNA from 1 species
CGCGGCCUAUCAGCUUGUUGGUGAGGUAAUGGCUUACCAAGGCGACGACGGGUAGCCGGCCUGAGAGGGUGACCGGCCACACUGGGACUGAGACACGGCCCAGACUCCUACGGGAGGCAGCAGUGGGGAAUAUUGCACAAUGGGCGCAAGCCUGAUGCAGCAACGCCGCGUGAGGGACGACGGCCUUCGGGUUGUAAACCUCUUUCAGUAGGGAAGAAGCGAAAGUGACGGUACCUGCAGAAGAAGCGCCGGCUAACUACGUGCCAGCAGCCGCGGUAAUACGUAGGGCGCAAGCGUUAUCCGGAAUUAUUGGGCGUAAAGAGCUCGUAGGCGGUUUGUCGCGUCUGCCGUGAAAACUCGGGGCUUAACCCCGAGCCUGCUUCUGAUACGGGCAGACUAGAGGUAUGCAGGGGAGAACGGAAUUCCUGGUGUAGCGGUGGAAUGCGCAGAUAUCAGGAGGAACACCGGUGGCGAAGGCGCAUCUCUGGGCCGUAACUGACGCUGAGGAGCGAAAGCAUGGGGAGCGAACAGGCUUAGAUACCCUGGUAGUCCAUGCCGUAAAUGUUGGGCGCUAGGUGUGGGGUCCUAUCCACGGAUUCCGUGCCGCAGCUAACGCAUUAAGCGCCCCGCCUGGGGAGUACGG